AAUGUUUGAUUUGAGAGGGGUUUGGUUAUUAUUUCUUGCAGGUUAAGUGACCAUGUAGAGGCUCCUCAUUGGUCAUCUUUGUUGUUGAUGUUUAACUCUCCUGUUGUUGAUAGGAAAGCCAAAAUAUGAUCAAAGACAAUCUAGCCUUAACGAUCCUGCCUUUUUAGAAGUGUCCUUUCUUUUAAAUUGCGGUGGUAUGAUGUGAGAAACACA